rfam:Photobacterium damselae subsp. damselae CIP 102761 Contig58, whole genome shotgun sequence.
CAUUGGUCCUCCCGCAACACUAGUUUGUGAACCUGGUCAGGUCCGGAAGGAAGCAGCCACAGCAAAUGACGUGUGUGCCGGGAUGUGGCUGGUGGGG